CGUGUGAGGCAGAAAUAAAGUGUGUCAUUUCCAGUCGGUUAAAAUGAGUUGUGAUUGCAGGUGUCGGACCGUUUCUAAAUAAUGAGCCGGUAUCCCACAGUGUGUGCUCUUCUCGUUUGCUGGUUUACGGAAAGUAAAUGUGAUGAAGUUAUUCAGAAGCAAGAAGAGCUUAUCACAUCUGGGCAAACAUUAGAAAUUCAAUGCUCCCAUAAAAUAACAAGCUACGACAAUAUGUAUUGGUACAAGAUGUUACCCAGUAAACCUCCAGAGGUAAUUAUCUAUGGGUACAAUUCUGCUUCUGACAAAGAUCAGUUUAGCAUGACUAUUGAUCGUUCACGCAAAGCUACUUCUUUGAUUAUCCGAGAUGUGAAGGUGACUGAUGCUGCUGUGUAUUACUGUGCAGUGAGCCCCACAGCAGAACACCUAGGCAGAACAGAUGCACAGAAACAACGAAAUACCGAUGCCAUCUGAUAAGCAAUUCUUUGUAUGUGCUUUUAAUCUUAUCUCAUAACAAAACACAAAUGGCAGACAGAACAGAUGUAAAUAGGGCUUACUGUAAUUUUAGUCAAAAUAAUGAUGACAUUCAGUACUUCUGAGAAUAUUAAAAGACGUUACAAAAUAUUAAA